rnacentral:rRNA from 1 species
GGGGCAAGGACUUCGCUCCAACCCCUGUGACAUACCACUUGUUGCCUCGGCGGAUCAGCCCGCUCCCGGUAAAACGGGACGGCCCGCCAGAGGACCCCUAAACUCUGUUUCUAUAUGUAACUUCUGAGUAAAACCAUAAAUAAAUCAAAACUUUCAACAACGGAUCUCUUGGUUCUGGCAUCGAUGAAGAACGCAGCAAAAUGCGAUAAGUAAUGUGAAUUGCAGAAUUCAGUGAAUCAUCGAAUCUUUGAACGCACAUUGCGCCCGCCAGUAUUCUGGCGGGCAUGCCUGUUCGAGCGUCAUUUCAACCCUCAAGCACAGCUUGGUGUUGGGACUCGCGUUAAUUCGCGUUCCCCAAAUUGAUUGGCGGUCACGUCGAGCUUCCAUAGCGUAGUAGUAAAACCCUCGUUACUGGUAAUCGUCGCGGCCACGCCGUUAAACCCCAACUUCUGAAUGUUGACCUCGGAUCAGGUAGGAAUACCCGCUGAACUUAAGCAUAUCAAAAGCCGGAGGAA